AUCCUUUUGUAGUUCAUAAGCGUGAUUGGGUGUUCACACCGUUGUGUGACAUGUGCCACCCUUAAACCUUGUUAUGGGGGCGCCUGGGUGGCUUAGUCAGUUAAGCGGCCGACU
ensembl:snoRNA